rnacentral:rRNA from 1 species
UACGUAGGGGGCAAGCGUUGUCCGGAAUCAUUGGGCGUAAAGGGCGCGUAGGCGGCCUGUUAAGUCGAACGUGAAAUCCCCGGGCUCAACCCGGGAACUGCGUCCGAUACUGGCAGGCUUGAAUCCGGGAGAGGGAUGCGGAAUUCCAGGUGUAGCGGUGAAAUGCGUAGAUAUCUGGAGGAACACCGGUGGCGAAGGCGGCAUCCUGGACCGGCAUUGACGCUGAGGCGCGAAAGCUAGGGGAGCAAACAGG